rnacentral:lncRNA from 1 species
AUGGGCAGCGGGGGCGAGCAGCGCGGCCUCGCUCUGCGGCCGUCGUGCGGGACUGAGCCGGGGCCGCCCUCGCCGGCCCUAAGAGGCUGCCCCCGGGCCGGACACUGCGCUCCCGAGAAGGGAGGAGCCGCGCUGGGGGCCCCAGCUGAGCGGGGACAACCCCGCUCCGCUCUCAGUGCGGCUCAGCCUCGAGGCGAGGGGCCGAGCAGCUCGGCUCUGCUGCGGGGUGGUGCCCAGCGCCGGGUUCGUGCGCUGAACCGGGAGGCCGGGGAGGCAAAGCUGCCCCUGCUGCUGCAGCCACCCGUGGAGCUGCCUGUGUGCUCCGCAGCUCGAUCGAAGGGACUUUUUAACCUUCCCUCUGGCAAACUGGGUGUCACAUUCCGAUCGUGGUGUCAUUGCUUCUCAGCACGCAGACAACACCGCUUGCUUUUACAUCACUUUUCUUUGCUGCUACAUUCCAGUAUUAUUACAUUUCAGUAUGCCACACCCAUUGGAUCCCACUGAGACUGACUGGAUAAAGAAGUAGAGAGGAGAAAAAGAGACAGUUGGGGUUCUGUCGGUUGGUUGAUUUUUUUUUUUUUUGUGUGUGUGUGUUUUUUUGCUUGUUUUCAACAGGAUUUACCAAGAACUUGUUCACACCAUUUUACUAUUGGAAAGCAGCUUGUAGUUUUGUAGUAAAGGCUAUUUUCACCAAAGAAAUAAAAUGUUUUUGGAUGUGUAUUGAAGUAUGAUU